GUGGCCUGGCAUUCAAUCUGUGAGGUGGAUGCGUGUUGGAAGGACCCCUUUUGGUUUCUUUUUGCUCAGAGCUUUCUUUUAAUAAAUUCCGCUCUCCUCACCUUUCAAUGUGUCCGUAUGCCUAAUUUUUCCUGGUCCUGUGACAAGAACCUGAUUUUAGCUGAACUAAGGAGCGAAAGAUCCUGGAUCAUUUUGGUGACCCAUACUGGUACAUGAGGAAAGCUCCUAUUCCAGAUUCUCAGAGUAUAGAUUCUGACUGGAUUACCCUGGUCCUUGAAGUAUACCUAGGAGAUGGAAUAACAUUGUAUAAGCAUCCACGUUGUCAUUAAGAGGAAAGAGUUUCCAUUAAAACAGCAGGUCACAAAACCCUCCUGUGAGAGGAACCCUCUGUGGAAGAACAGAAUAUGUCACCCCAAAAUAUGAAGAAUUGUUGAGCUGAAGAUGAUUAAGAAGAAGCGGAUGCAGGAAAGCUCUCUGCUCUCCCUCUAUUUGCUUAAAAGCAGGAUAAACACUUACAAAGACUAAAGACGCCACAAUCAAGAACUCAGAAGGGUAGAAGAAAAAGAUAGUUUCCCUUCCCUACACAGGUGUUGAUCCCUUCAUAAAUAUUAUGCAUGCUAAGCCCUAUCUCAAGGUCUACAUCCAGGAGAACCCAACCUGCAACAUUAAGCAGAGGAGCCUUAUCCCAUGGCCUGCACCACCACAGGACCA
rnacentral:lncRNA from 1 species